rnacentral:rRNA from 1 species
GACGAACGCUGGCGGCGCGCCUAACACAUGCAAGUCGAGCGAGAACCAGGGCUUCGGCCCUGGGGAAAGCGGCGAACGGGUGAGUAACACGUGGGUAACCUGCCCUCGGCACCGGGAUAGCCCGGGGAAACCCGGAUUAAUACCGGACAGCCUCACGAGCCCUCGGGCGAAUGAGAAAAGGAGGCUUCGGCUUCCGGCUGAGGAUGGGCCCGCGGCCGAUUAGCUUGUUGGUGGGGUAAUGGCUCACCAAGGCUC